AACGAACGCUGGCGGCAUGCCUAACACAUGCAAGUCGAACGAAGCCUUCGGGCUUAGUGGCGCACGGGUGCGUAACGCGUGGGAAUCUGCCCUUCGGUUCGGAACAACAGUUAGAAAUGACUGCUAAUACCGGAUGAUGACGUAAGUCCAAAGAUUUAUCGCCGAAGGAUGAGCCCGCGUAGGAUUAGCUAGUUGGUAAGGUAAAAGCUUACCAAGGCGACGAUCCUUAGCUGGUCUGAGAGGAUGAUCAGCCACACUGGGACUGAGAUACGGCCCAGACUCCUACGGGAGGCAGCAGUGGGGAAUAUUGGACAAUGGGGGCGAACCCUCGAUCCAGCAAUGCCGCGUGAGUGAUGAAGGCCU
rnacentral:rRNA from 1 species